CUGAAUUGUGUUUUAGUGAAAUGAGUAGUCUAACCUGUCAAAGGCACUUUUAGGUUCAAAUAUACAAAAUAUAUAGUCAUGUGUUUAAGUGUUAAUGCUUUGUUUUAAAAGGCACAAUAUACAUUUCCCUUUAUGAACGAUAACAUCCACAGCUGAGUUGAGACAGCCUAAAGUUUUCUGCGCCCUGUGUCCCCCAGACCCAGAAGACUGAGCUACAGACCUGUGAUGAGGUCCAACAGAGCCCCCCUCAGGAGGGACUUGUGCGUGUUUCUCCACUCUCUCCCUUAGUGCCCAGAGGCAUCAACACAUUAUAAAUACUCAGGUUUUGAACCAAAAAAAUAUUUCAGAUACAAAGAAAGCAAUGCUCAACCGUGUUGGAAUUACUUAAAUCAAAUAUAACCAAAAGAAAACAAAAUAUAACUGUUUAAAUUUGGCACAUUUCAGUUGUUGUAAUUAUCUGAUCAUAUUUUUCCAUCUAAAGCAAUUCCAAUAGGGUUACAGCACUAUAUUUGUACAGAUGAGACAUGAGACUGUGAUUCUGGUUACAUUUAGGGACGCACUGAUCCAGCUUUUAUAAUAAUACCAAUUUCAUUGCUAGCUUUAAGACUCUCUUUAAGACCCGAUAUCAGCCGAUUCUAGUGCAGACACUGAAAACAGCAUUUAUUUCCUUUACACUAAAGUAAAAUAAGACAAAGCUGAUCAAAAUGUGUCAUAUUGCUGUUAUUUAUUCCACAUGUAACUACAGAAAAACACUGUGUAAAUCAUGAAGCUAUCUGGGCCGACUAGUCUAAUUAUAUCAAUUUAUAUGCACAACCAGGAUAUCAGCUGAACCAAUAUUUGGAUGUUAAUAUUCCAAUAUAUUAUAUCAUAAUAUAAUAUUCUGAUUCAGCUAAUUUUAGUAUCAGGCCAAUAUCUGAUACCAGUAUUGGAUCGGUGCAUCCCUAAUUACACUGAUAGCAAAGCGGUCUGAUCACGUUUGCAUAGCUGUGUGGGUCCAUGACCAGGUCCUAUAUUAUACAAAUCAAUAUUUUUUUACUUAAAACCAUGUUCUUUCCUCAGACAAAACCUUGAGUUUUGGGUUAUGCUUUAAAAUAAGGUUCAUAAGUGAAAUAUUUUAAGCCAUUAUUGAAAUGGACAUUUUGUCAUGUUAUAAUGUUCCCUUAUCUAAAACAUGCUUAGAGUGGUAUUUAGCUUCAUUUGCGCUUAUUUCAUUAAUCCUUUUUAUGAGGUUGUCUUCUCAGCCCCAGAAAUCACUCCAUUUCAAUUUUCCUCUGACAGUUACGUCACUGGUAAAAAUCUGGAAGGCUCUAGUGCAGUUUUAAGUCCAUAAAUCACUGACUCGUUCUGAGCCGUUAAACUGCAUUCAUUAAAAUAGCAUGCUUAUGUUAGCAUACCGGGCCAUGUUGCUUAAAUGGCUAGUUUUUGUUUUUUCCAUGGUUCACUCCCACUGCUGCCAAGUAGGGUUAUAUAAACAUAGGCAUCAUUAAAUGUUCUAAACAUGCGAUGCCAAAGCAAAAGUACAAAAGAACAUGUUUAAAGGCCAAUAACAAUACAGAUAAUGCAUACUAUGUCCUAUAUGUGUCUAUAAGCAUUUAAACAUCUUAUCACCAAUUGUAAACUUAUAAACAGCUUACUGAUGAACCUUAUUUCAAAGUGUCAUUUUUUUCUACCUCUCAACACCAUCUGCAGGUAAUCCAAAAGAGUCCAUUACCUUUAGCAGAAUCCAUUUUCAAACCAACUUUAACAUUAACAGCUACCGUUUUAGACUAAUUUAAACCGAUUCACUGGUGCCCUUUGCUGGAGUUCUGCAACUUUGGGGAACAGAUCAUUUUGUGUGUUUUAUGUACAUAUGCGCUAUUAGAAGUUUUAAAAUAUGAAAGAAUACAUAGUACAGAACCCUCAGUAUUUGAGAUAUCUGCUCUCAGGUACAUGAGAGCCAUGAGUCUUUGGCUUCAAAUCAUUUUAAGUUCUCUUACAACAAACAUCCUCCAUCCAGGGUUCAAUCAGAUGUCUCUUAGCGUUUAACACCGUCUUCCAAAGUCCUCCAAAGUGUCCUCCAAAGUCCAGAGUGUAGGAUCCUUUUUCACAGUCCUCCUUCCUAAACUAGGCAAGUUUUGGUGAGUGUGGAAAACAGGUUUAAAGAUGCUACAGUCUAAUGUCCUUUAGUCCACAGAGGAGGCUGAUGUCCUCUAGUCCACAGAGCAGUAAAAUGUACUUUAGCCACGAGGAUCGUCUAAUGUCCUUUAGUCCACAGAGGGGGGUCUAAUGUCCUUUAGUCUACAGAGGAGGGUCUAAUGUCCUUUAGUCUACAGAGGAGGGUUUAAUGUCCUUUAGUCUACAGAAGCAGGUCUAAUGUUCUUUAAUCCACAGAGGAGGAUCUAAUGUCCUUUAGUCCACAGAUGGUCUAAUGUCCUUUAGUCCACAGAGGAGGGUCUGAUGUCCUUUAGUCCACAGAGGAGCCUGAUGUCCUUUAGUCCACAGAGGAGCCUGAUGUCCUUUAGUCCACAGAGGAGGGUUUGAUGUCCUUUAGUCCACAGAGGAGGGUCUAAUGUCCUUUAGUCCACAGAGGAGGGUCUGAUGUCCUUUAGUCCACAGAGGAGGGUUUGAUGUCCUUUAGUCCACAGAGGAGGGUCUAAUGUCCUUUAGUCCACAGAGGAGCCUGAUGUCCUUUAGUCCACAGAGGAGGGUCUGAUGUCCUUUAGUCCACAGAGGAGGGUCUAAUGUCCUUUAGUCCACAGAAGAGGGUCUGAUGUCCUUUAGUCCACAGAGGAGGGUCUGAUAUCCUUUAGUCCACAGAGGACAGUUCUACUGGUUGUCGGAGCAGUAGGUUCCUCCGUUGGGCGCAGAGGGCAGAGGGAAAGCCCCGGUCCCCAUGGCAGCACAGUUCAUC
ensembl:lncRNA